rnacentral:rRNA from 1 species
UACGUAGGUGGCAAGCGUUUGUCCGGAAUUAUUGGGCGUAAAGCGCGCGCAGGCGGUCUCUUAAGUCUGAUGUGAAAGCCCCCCGGCUCAACCGGGGAGGGUCAUUGGAAACUGGGAGACUUGAGUGCAGAAGAGAAGAGUGGAAUUCCACGUGUAGCGGUGAAAUGCGUAGAGAUGUGGAGGAACACCAGUGGCGAAGGCGACUCUUUGGUCUGUAACUGACGCUGAGGCGCGAAAAGCGUGGGGAGCCAAACAGGG